CCUCCCUCCUCCCUCCCACUUCUGCCCUCUCCAGCUCCACCUAGAGCCCCUCCCAGAGCUCUCCAGGUGCCAGCCCUGGACUCCCCAGCUGGGUCCUCACACGUGCUAUUCCCUCUGCCAGGAAUUCUCUUCCAUGCACUAAAGACAGGCAGCCACAGCCUCAUCCUCCAUGUUUCAGCUCAGAUCUCCCUGCCUCUUCCCCAGGAAACUUUCCUGAUCCUCCCAGACAAGGUCAGCAGCACCGGGGCCGCUGCUUGCCUGACAUUCAACGACUUUUCACCCAAACUCCCCGCGGGGCCUGUCUGCCACGGUGGACGUCCAACUCCAUAAGGCAGGGCCCUUUUCUGUUCACUGUGACAGUUUCAUGCCUAGCUCUGCAGCUAGUAGGGGCUCAAUAAACACUUCCUGCCUUCAGGAACACAGGACACCAUCCUCUCUGGCCUUCUCUGAUAUUCAGGAGCUUGUCAAGGAAAGGAGGGUGUUGGGGAAAAAAAUUAAAAACCCUCCCAAGAAGUCAAGCAUUGCUUUGGAAAGAGUCAGCCUGAGGUUUUGUGCAGCCUGGAGCAAGUCCUUCAACCCCACAGGGGCUCCAUUUCCUCACCUGUAAAAGGAAAAGUGGAAUCCAGUCCCCAGAGGGCUAUGCGGAGACUAAACCAGCUGGAAAAGUAAAGGGAAGAAAUACAGGAACUCCUGCAAGUUUACCUGAAUCUACUGCAACAUUGAUCGGAUGGAAAUCAAGCUGAAAAACCCUAUGGAAAAUUGCCUCACGUGAGAAACCACAGCACCAAAUCCAAACUUACAAAACAAUUGCGGCCGGCGAUGGCUCACACCUGUAAUCCCAGCACUUUGGGAGGCUAAGGCAUACGGAUUACCUGAGGUCAGGAGUUUGAGACCAGCUUGGCUAACAUGGUGAAACCCCGUCUCUACUAAAAAUACAAAAAUUAGCCAGGUGUGGUGGUGGACACCUGUAAUCCCAGCUACUUGGGAGGCUGAGGCAGGAGAAUCGCUUGAACCUGGGAGGCGGAGGUUGCAGUGAGCCAAAAUGGCGCCACUGUAGUCCAGCCUGGGCAACAGAGCAAGACUCCAUCUCAAAAAAAAAAAAAAAAAAUUGCAUCAGGGUGCAGCUGUUUUCCUCUCCCAGAAUCUUUGCACAGGCUACCUUUAUUCAUUAUAUAAACAUUACGUGAAUUCUUUUUUUAAUUAUGAAAGUAACAUGUAUUUGUUUUUUAAAUUCUUAGGCUAUAUAAAAUAAUAUCAGUAAAAAGUGAUGUGGUAAUCCACCAUGCAAAGUCAAUUCUGUUCAUGGGGCCAGGCACAGUGACUCACACCUGUAAUCCUAACACUUCAGGAGGCUGAGGUGGGUGGAUCACCUGAAGUCAAGAGUUUGAGACUGGCCUGGCCAACAUGGCGAAAACCCAUCUCUACUAAAAAUACAAAAAUUAGCCAGGCGUGGUGGCAGGCAACUAUAAUCCCAGAUACUCGGGAGGCUGAGAUAAGAGAAUCGCUUGAACCCAGGAACUGGAGGUUGCAGUGAGUGGAGAUCAUGCCACUGCACUCCAGCCUGAGCAACAGAGUGAGACUCCAUCUCAAAAAAAAAAAAAAAAAAAGAAAAAGAAAAAGUCCGGGUGCAGUGGCUCACACCUGUAAUCCCAGCACUUUGGGAGGCUGAGGCGGGUGGAUCACUUGAGGUUAGGAGUUGGAGACCAGCCUGGCCAACAUGGUGAAACACCGUCUCUACUAAAAAUACAAAAAAAUUAGCCAGGCAUGGUGGUGCUCGCCUAUAAUCCCAGUUACUUGGGAGGCUGAGGCAGGAUAAUCAUUUGAAUCCCGAAGGCGGAGGUUGCAAUAAGCCGAAAUCAUGCCACUGUACUCCAGCCCAGGUGACAGAGCGAGACUUUGUCUCAAAAAAAAAAAAAAAAAAAAAAUUAGCUGGGCGUGGUGGUGUGCACCUGUAGUCCCAGCUACUGGGGAGGCUGCGCCAAGAGAAUCACUUGAACUCGGGAGGUGGAGGUUGCAGUAAGCCGAGAUUGCACCACUGCACUCCAGCCUGGGUGACAGAGUCAGACUCUGUCUCAAAAAAAAAAAAAAAAGCCUCCAGAUUUUUUUCUGUGUUUGUGACAGCAUUUCUCAACCUCUGGACUGACAUUUGAGGUUGGAUAAUUCUUUGUUGUGGGGAGAUGUCCUGUGCAUGGGUGGAUGGGUAGCAUCUCCCUAUUACUUAAUAGUUGCAGCCCCCAACCUCCACCCCUCACCAAAGUUAUGACAUUGCCAAAUGUCAUCUAGGGGGAAAUUCCAUCCUCUCUCAGAGCCCUCAUGCUCAAAAGUUGACUUCCUCCUGGUUCAUGAAAUAGGAACAAUUGGGUCAAGCUGUGGGUAAACUGCCCCCACCCCCCAACCCCCACCCUUCUCCCAAGGGGAGAUAGAAGAGAAAGAGGUGAAUUGGUGGGAAGAGGACUGGGGCCUAUGAACAGAGUAAUGACACAGUUCCUUGCUGCCAUUAUCACCAUCUUCAUUUUGGAAGAAAUCCAUCGGCCCCACCAUAUCCUCCUCCAAGGCAUUUGACCAAAGAGGCUGGCCAGCCAUCCUGACUGAAGGAACAUAAAUUGGCGGCUCUCCCUCUGUCAUCACCAAGACCCAGGAGAACUGCCGAGUGCCAGAAGCUGCUAUAAAUAGUUUACAACCGCUUGAAAAGUGCUAGAGGUGUCUCCCGUCCACCUGGCAGCAAGUUCCAUCAGGUCCAUCCGCAAAACAUGCUGGCACCCGGCUCCCCUCUGCCACUCCAGCCUACCCCCCAACCUCCUUGGAUCACUACCGGAGCCUCGUAAACUGGCCUCCCUGCCUCCACACUAACCUAUUUCUCCCACAGCAGAGGGAAUUGUCUGUUUAAAAGCCAAGUUAGAUUUUAUUUUUUCCUUGCUUAAAACCAAACGUCAACUAGAAUAAAAUCUAAGCCUCAUGCGUUGACUCUGAGCACACUGUGUCUCCUGGGCUUCCCCACCUCUCAUGCCUUGCUAUAAUUCUGGCCUUGUCUCUAUUCCUGAGCAUCUUUCCUCCCGGCCCACUUAUGGCUGGCUCACUCCCAUUAUUCAGGGCUUAAAAAAAAUGCCCCCUCUUUUGAGAAGCCUUCCCUGACCACUCUCGCUAAGGGACUCCCUGCCAUCUCUUUCGCCACCGCCUCCCCAUCGCAAAACCUCAUUUUAUUUGCAUCGUGGUACUUAGCAUGCCAGAAACUUCCCUCCUGCCUGAUGUCUUUGGCUUCCCUGACUAGGAGGAAGGUCUGGGGAGCUUCUUGGAGGCUUAUCUGCUCUUCCACUGACCAGCCUAGAAGCCUGGAUGCCCUAAAACAAGCCCUUGCCAGGUGAUUAUUAAUGAAAUGACUUAAUGAAGGCUUAGAAGGUAAGUCCCAGAUUUGAAACCUUAGCACCUACAGGAUCCUUCAGUUGGGCAUCAAUUUGGUCUUGUAAAAGACUCUGUAAGUUCUAAGAGUUUUCUGUAAAAUAAUGGCCUCCAACCAUGUCAUUACAGGGCUGAGGGAGGGAGAGGGAACUCGCAGUCUGGAGCUGAUCCCAGUGCAUCAGAGUAAACUGCAGCUACUGAUAGAGAGGAUGCUGGUGAGGUCCCCUAACUCAGGACAGAUGCUGGCAGGGGUGGGCAGGGCAUUGGCACUAAAUAAGAGCAAGGCCAGCUCUCAGCCCAACUGCCAGUUUCCUGAGCCAUUUAAGGCACAACAAUUCUCCUGAUACCUUGCAAAUCCUUCUGGCAAGAGACGGGUUAAUAAUACUAGCAGCUACUAUGUGCAGGGCACCCACCAGCAGCCGGCCAGAUGCUGCAUGCUCUGUAGCCACCGCCAUCUCAUCUGUCUUCCCAACAUCCUCACAGGGGGAUGACUAAGAUCCUCAGUUUAGGCACGAGGCAAUUGGCUCAGAAAAGUGAAGAAACUUGCCUAAAGCCACACAGCUAGGAAGUGACUGAGUCCCACCUCCACCAGCCAGCCCAGCUGCCUGGAGAGGCAGAUGAGCUCUCGACCUCAUCCCUCAAACUCAGCCGUGUCUGACUUGGGAAUGUUCAAGAUCCUAAGUCCCUUUGCAGCUCUACGCUUUUGUAUUUGCACCUAAAAUGGGACUAACAUUUCCUAUCAUGCUCAAAUUUCAUUUAUUCUUGCAAUUGUUUUAUUAAUUACUUAGCAACCACUCUGUGCCAAGUAGUACUCUAGGCCAGGGGCCAGAAAGCUUGAUCUGUCACCCGUCUGUGGAUGAGACUGUGUGAGUUAUUUUCACAGCACGCUCUACAGAGAUUCAAAUAUCCCCCUGUCCCCACCAAAAAUGUUUUUAACCUGUGAUCUCACCAUGGGGCAGGUUUUUUUAUUGUCUCAUUAACCAGAAGUAACUUAGGCCAGGGGUUAGCAAACCUUAUUUGGCCCAUCACCUGUGUUUUGCACAGCUCACAAGCUGAGAAUGGUUUUUACUCUUAUUUUUUCCUUUUUUUAAAAGUGGGUCUCACUUUGUCGCUCAGGCUGGAGUGCAGUGGCAUGAUCAUAGUUUAUUCCAGCCUCACACUCCUCAGCUCGAGUGAUCCUUCCUCCUCAGCCUCCAAAGUACCUGAGACUACAGGCAUGCACCACUAUACCCAGCUUAUUUUGUUUACUUUUUGUAGACAAGGUCUUACUAUGUUGCCCAGGCUGGUCUUGACCACCUGGGCUCAAGUGAUUGUCCUACCUUGGCCUCCCAAAGUGCUGGGAUUUAAAGGCGUGAUGCAUUUUUUAAUGGUUGAAAAAACAUUGCAAGACUAUUUCAUGACAGGUGAAAAUUAUGUGAAAUUUACAUUCUUAGCAUCUGUGGAUAAAGUUUUACUGGGUACAGCCAUGCCCAUUUUUUUGCAUAUGGUCUAAGGUUGCACUAGACCACCUGGCCUCUAAAAGCUGCAAAUAUAUAUAUAUACAUUUUUUUUUUUUGAGACAGACUCACUGUCACCCAGGCUGGAGUGCAAUGGUGUGAUCUCAGCUCACUGCAACCUCCACCUCCUGGGUUCAAGAAAUUCUCCUGCCUCAGCCUCCUGAGUAGCUGGGGUUACAGGUGCCUGCCACCACACCUGGCUAAUUUUUAUAUUUUUAGUAGAGACAGGGUUUCACCAUGUUGGCCAGGAUGGUCUCAAACUCCUUACCUCCAGUGAUCCACCUGCCUCGGCCUCCGAAAGUGUUGGGAUUACAGGCAUGAGACACUGUCCCCAGCUACAUAUGUAUCUUUUUGAGACAGGUUCAUGCUUUGUCACCCAGGCUAAAGUUCGGUGGUGUGAUCACAGUUCACUGUAACCUCCUCUUCCCAGUCCUCCCACUUCAGCCUCCAAAGUAGCUAGGACUACAGGCAUGCACCACCACACUCAACUAAUUUUUUUUUUUUUUUUUUUUUUUUUGAGAGAUGGGGUCUCAUCAUGUUGCCCAGGCCAGUCUUGAACUCCUGGACUCAAGCAUUCCUUCUGCCUCAGCCUCCCAAAGUGCUGGGAUUACAGGCCUGAGCCACCAUGCCCAGCCCAAAGCCUCAAAUAUUUACCAUCUGGCCCUUUACAAGAAUAGCUUGCCACCCUUGGUUCUGGAUCUUGUUGACAUGCUGGUGACAUAGGGCACCCCACAUGGAGCUUACACUCUAGUCCAGGAACAGCCCAUACAAAUGUCAAAAGCUGAGGCAGACCAUUCCAGAUCCUGGUCUCUGCAGUGAAGAUAGGAGAGAGCAACUUGGGAGCUGCUGUAGCCCGGAGGGUCUCUGAGGGGCUGUGUUCCAGCUCAGAGCUGCAGGAAGAGUUAGGCACAGGGGCUUCCAGAAAGAAUCUUUGAGGCAGGGGGACAGCAGAUGCAAGAUUCUGAGACAGGACCAAGCAUGAUUCCACUAUUGGCAGCAAGAUGCAAGGCUGGCGUGGAAUGGACAGGGGACCACUUGUAAGUAGGCCAGACACCACACCGUCUCCCCUUUCCGCCCUCUUAUUAUUUGAUCCUCUCAAUAACUUUGCAAGGGGCCAGGUGUGGUGGCUCACACCUGUAAUGCCAGCACUUUGGGAGGCCGAGGCAGGCGGAUCACCUGAGGUCAGGAGUUUGAGACCAGCCUGACCAACAUGGCGAAAUCCCCUUCUCCACUGAAAAUACAAAAAUUAGCCAGGUGUGGUGGCGGAUGCCUGUAGUCCCAGCUACUCAGGAGGCUGAGGCAGGAGAAUCACUUGAACCCGGAAGACAGAGAUUGCAGUGAGCUGAGAUCGCACCACUGAACUUCCGAGAUUGUGCCACUACACCCUAGCCUGGGUGACAGAGAGAGACUCUGUCUCAAAACAAACAAACAAAAAACUUUGCAAGGUAGGUAGGUGCCAUGUUAUCCAUAAACUCAGAAAAAAAAAAAAAUAAGCAGAGAUAAAUGUGCAGCAGUGAGAGGUGCAGACUCGCCCAGUCAUGAAGCUGUGAAGUGACAGAGCCAAGGCUUAACCCCAGGCCGGGUUCUUUGAUGCCAAAGUGAAAGUUGAUUCUCAUCAACCUCAACCUGGCAAGGGUGAGAAGAGAAGGAACAAGAAAAAGGGAGAGGCUGGUUCCCGGGAUCCAGAACCACAUCAAAAUCCCCAAGGCAACAAGAUGAAUUUCAGACUGUGGGGAAAGAAAGAUGGUAACCCAACUAUUCCCUUUCUAUUUCCCCAUCCACAACCCAAGCUCCCUGGGUGGAAAAAAAGGCAGGAGAUAAAAAUGCCAACCACAGAACACUUGAUUCACAUCCCACUCUGAGGUAUUUCCCCAGAACAGAGGAAAGAAUGCUAGGCGUGGCGGCUUACUCCUGUAAUCCCAGUGCUUUGGGAGGCUGAGUCAGAAGGAUCACUUGAGACCAGGAGUUCAAGACCAGCCUGGGCAACAUAGUGAGACCCUGUCUCUAUAAAAAUAAAAAUAAAAAAUUAGCCAGGCAUGGUGGUGCGCACCUGUACUCCCAGCUACUCGGGAGCUGAGGUGGGAGGAUUGCUUGAGCCCAGGAGGGAGAGGCUGCAGUGAGCCACGAUCACAUCACUGGAUUCCAGCCUGGGUGGCAGAGGGAGACCCUGUCUCAAAAAGGAAAAAAAAAUAAAAAGGCCGGGCAUGGUGGCUCAUACCUGUAAUCCCAGCACUUUGGGAGACUAAGGCAGGCGGAUCACUUGAGGUCAGGAGUUUGAGGCCAGCCUGGUCAACCUGGUGAAACCUCAUCUCUAAGAAAAAUACAAAAAUUAGCCAGGCGUGGUGGCAGGACCUGUAAUCCCAGCUACUCAGGAGGUUGAGGCAGGAGAAUCACUUGGGCCUAGGAGGUAGAGGUUGCAGUGAGCCAAGAUUGCACCACUGCACUCUAGCCUGGGCAACAGAGCAAGACUCCUCAAAAAAAAAAAAGGGCCAGGUACGGUGGUUCAUGCCUGUAAUCCCAGCACUUUGGGAAGCCAAGGCAGGGGGAUCACCUGAGGUCAGGAGUUUGAGACCAGCCUGGCCAACAUGGUGAAACCCUGUCUCUACUAAAAAUACAGAAAUUAGCCAGGUGUGGUGGUGCAUGCCUGUAAUCCCAGCUACUCAGGAGGCUGAGGCAGGAAAAUUGCUGAGGCGGAGGUUGCAGUGAGCCACGAUCCCGCCAUUGCACUCCAGCCUGGGCGACAGAACAAGACUCUGUCUCAAAAAAGAAAAAAAAAAGGCCAGGUGCGGUGGCUCACGACUGUAAUCCCAGCACUUUGGGAGGCCGAGGCGGGUGGAUCACGAGGUCGGGAGAUCGAGACCAUCCUGGCUAACAUGGUGAAACCCCGUCUCUACUGAAAAAAAAAUGCAAAAAAUUAGCAGGGCAUGGUGGCGGGCACCUGUAGUCCCAGCUACUCGGGAGGCUGAGGCAGGAGAAUGGCGUGAACCCGGGAGGUGGAGCGUGCAGUGAGCCAAGAUUGCAACAUUGCACUCCAGCCUGGGCGACAGAGCGAGACUCCAUCUCAAAAAAAAAAAAAAAGAAGAAGAAGAAGAAAGCACAUCUACACAGAGAUGCACACAGGAAUUCUCAGCAGCUGUAUUUGUAAAAGACAACAACUGGAGAACUGGAGACAACCCAAAUGUCUAUCAACUGGGGAUUAGAUAAACAAAUUGUGGCAUAGCUGCAUAGCUGUACAACGGAGUAGUGCUUGCCAAUAAAAAGAACAAACUUCAGAUACAAGCAACAGCAUGGAGAUCUCAACUGCAUUGUGCUGAGUGAAAGCAGCCGACAAAAUAAAAAUAAUGCAUUAUCUCUUUUUCUGUAUGCUUCUAUUUAUGUACAAUUCUACGAACGCAAAUGAAUCCAAAGUGGCAGGAAGCAGGUCAGUAGUUGGCUGGGGGCAGAGUUGUGAGGAGGGGUAGAAGGAAGGAUGAUAAAAGAACACAAGGGAACUAUAUUUCGGGGCAACGGGUGUGCCCAUUAUGUUGACUAUGGUGAUGGUUUCAUAAAACACUAAAUUGUGGCUGGCCGUGAUUGCUCACACCUGUAAUCCCAGCACUUCGGGAGGCAGGGGCAGGAGGAUUCCUUGAGCUCAAGAGUUUGAAACCAACCUGGGCAAUACAGGGAGAUACCCUGAUACAAAAAAAUCAAACAAUUAGUGGGUGUAACGGUGCACGCCUGUAGCCCCAGGUGCUCAGGAGGCUGAGGCAGGAAGAUUACUUGAACCCAAGAGGUCAAGGCUGCAGUGAGCUGUGAUCACAUCAUGAAAUGCCAGCCUGCGUGCUACAGUAAGACUCUGUCUCAAAACAAAACAAGACAAAAACACUAAAU
rnacentral:lncRNA from 10 species